GGCUCCCACUGAUUCUACGUUAUGUUUAAAAGCUAAAGCCAAGUCAGGAAGAGGAAGACAAGAUGAGAAACCCCAAAUCAAGAUUCUCCUGGGCAGUAAUAUCAAAUAACCAUGAGGACAUCUGAUAUUUCCAGAGAGACGAUUUUCUUGUUGGGGGGGAAAAAACAACAAAAGACCUUUUUGGAAACAGGAAAUCAUUUCAAGUUGACCACAUUUAGCGUUCCAAAGCUAGAAGCUUUGGAAAAUUUUAUUUUAUUGCUUUUUGAUGUCAGCCUAAUGUAGGGUUCCAUACUUAGUCUGGAUGUCUUUCUUAGAAUUACUUUAGAAAGCAAUGCAUAAAAACGUUCUGCAGAAUGCAGCCUUAUGUAUGCACCAAUAGUUCUAUCCACCUGUCUAUCUAGUUCCUCCUAAAUAAGCUUUGUAUGUAAAACAAGAGUUAUAUAUUGCAAACAAAUUCAACGAGUGAUAAUAAGCAAUGAUUUAUAGUAUAAGAUGAAGGAAACUAUACUGAUACUCUGUGAUAAUUAUUUUAAUAUAUAUUU